rnacentral:rRNA from 1 species
UGGGGAAUUUUGGACAAUGGGCGAAAGCCUGAUCCAGCAAUGCCGCGUGUGUGAAGAAGGCCUUCGGGUUGUAAAGCACUUUUGUCCGGAAAGAAAUCCUUGGCUCUAAUACAGUCGGGGGAUGACGGUACCGGAAGAAUAAGCACCGGCUAACUACGUGCCAGCAGCCGCGGUAAUACGUAGGGUGCAAGCGUUAAUCGGAAUUACUGGGCGUAAAGCGUGCGCAGGCGGUUUGCUAAGACCGAUGUGAAAUCCCCGGGCUCAACCUGGGAACUGCAUUGGUGACUGGCAGGCUAGAGUAUGGCAGAGGGGGGUAGAAUUCCACGUGUAGCAGUGAAAUGCGUAGAGAUGUGGAGGAAUACCGAUGGCGAAGGCAGCCCCCUGGGCCAAUACUGACGCUCAUGCACGAAAGCGUGGGGAGCAAACAGGAUUAGAUACCCUGGUAGUCCACGCCCUAAACGAUGUCAACUAGUUGUUGGGGAUUCAUUUCCUUAGUAACGUAGCUAACGCGUGAAGUUGACCGCCUGGGGAGUACGGUCGCAAGAUUAAACUUAAAUGAAUUG